UAGGGAAUCUUCCGCAAUGGACGAAAGUCUGACGGAGCAACGCCGCGUGAGUGAUGAAGGCUUUCGGGUCGUAAAACUCUGUUGUUAGGGAAGAACAAGUGCUAGUUGAAUAAGCUGGCACCUUGACGGUACCUAACCAGAAAGCCACGGCUAACUACGUGCCAGCAGCCGCGGUAAUACGUAGGUGGCAAGCGUUAUCCGGAAUUAUUGGGCGUAAAGCGCGCGCAGGUGGUUUCUUAAGCCUGAUGUGAAAGCCCACGGCUCAACCGUGGAGGGUCAUUGGAAACUGGGAGACUUGAGUGCAGAAGAGGAAAGUGGAAUUCCAUGUGUAGCGGUGAAAUGCGUAGAGAUAUGGAGGAACACCAGUGGCGAAGGCGACUUUCUGGUCUGUAACUGACACUGAGGCGCGAAAGCGUGGGGAGCAAACAG
rnacentral:rRNA from 1 species